rnacentral:lncRNA from 1 species
CAGUCACCAGUCACCAGUCACCAGUCACCAGUCACCAGUCACCAGUCACCAGUCACCAGUCACCAGUCACCAGUCACCAGUCACCAGUCACCAGUCACCAGUCACCAGUCACCAGUCACCAGUCACCAGUCACCAGUCACCAGUCACCAGUCACCAGUCACCAGUCACCAGUCACCAGUCACCAGUCACCAGUCACCAGUCACCAGUCCCCAGUCCCAGUCACCAGUCACCAGUCACCAGUCGCGACUCACGAGCCCCCAGUCACCAGUCACCAGCCCCCAGUCCCAGUCACCAGUCACCAGUCACCAGUCACCAGUCACCAGUCACCAGUCACCAGUCACCAGUCACCAGUCACCAGUCACCAGUCACCAGUCACCAGUCACCAGUCACCAGUCACCAGUCACCAGUCACCAGUCACCAGUCACCAGUCACCAGUCACCAGUCACCAGUCACCAGUCACCAGUCACCAGUCACCAGUCACCAGUCACCAGUCACCAGUCACCAGUCACCAGUCCCCAGUCCCAGUCACCAGUCACCAGUCACCAGUCGCGACUCACGAGCCCCCAGUCACCAGUCACCAGCCCCCAGUCCCAGUCACCAGUCACCAGUCACCAGUCACCAGUCACCAGUCACCAGUCACCAGUCACCAGUCACCAGUCACCAGUCACCAGUCACCAGUCACCAGUCACCAGUCACCAGUCACCAGUCACCAGUCACCAGUCACCAGUCACCAGUCACCAGUCACCAGUCACCAGUCACCAGUCACCAGUCACCAGUCACCAGUCACCAGUCACCAGUCACCAGUCACCAGUCACCAGUCCCCAGUCCCAGUCACCAGUCACCAGUCACCAGUCGCGACUCACGAGCCCCCAGUCACCAGUCACCAGCCCCCAGUCCCAGUCACCAGUCACCAGUCACCAGUCACCAGUCACCAGUCACCAGUCACCAGUCACCAGUCACCAGUCACCAGUCACCAGUCACCAGUCACCAGUCACCAGUCACCAGUCACCAGUCACCAGUCACCAGUCACCAGUCACCAGUCACCAGUCACCAGUCACCAGUCACCAGUCACCAGUCACCAGUCACCAGUCACCAGUCACCAGUCACCAGUCACCAGUCACCAGUCCCCAGUCCCAGUCACCAGUCACCAGUCACCAGUCGCGACUCACGAGCCCCCAGUCACCAGUCACCAGCCCCCAGUCCCAGUCACCAGUCACCAGUCACCAGUCACCAGUCACCAGUCACCAGUCACCAGUCACCAGUCACCAGUCACCAGUCACCAGUCACCAGUCACCAGUCACCAGUCACCAGUCACCAGUCACCAGUCACCAGUCACCAGUCACCAGUCACCAGUCACCAGUCACCAGUCACCAGUCACCAGUCACCAGUCACCAGUCACCAGUCACCAGUCACCAGUCACCAGUCACCAGUCCCCAGUCCCAGUCACCAGUCACCAGUCACCAGUCGCGACUCACGAGCCCCCAGUCACCAGUCACCAGCCCCCAGUCCCAGUCACCAGUCACCAGUCACCAGUCACCAGUCACCAGUCACCAGUCACCAGUCACCAGUCACCAGUCACCAGUCACCAGUCACCAGUCACCAGUCACCAGUCACCAGUCACCAGUCACCAGUCACCAGUCACCAGUCACCAGUCACCAGUCACCAGUCACCAGUCACCAGUCACCAGUCACCAGUCACCAGUCACCAGUCACCAGUCACCAGUCACCAGUCACCAGUCCCCAGUCCCAGUCACCAGUCACCAGUCACCAGUCGCGACUCACGAGCCCCCAGUCACCAGUCACCAGCCCCCAGUCCCAGUCACCAGUCACCAGUCACCAGUCACCAGUCACCAGUCACCAGUCACCAGUCACCAGUCACCAGUCACCAGUCACCAGUCACCAGUCACCAGUCACCAGUCACCAGUCACCAGUCACCAGUCACCAGUCACCAGUCACCAGUCACCAGUCACCAGUCACCAGUCACCAGUCACCAGUCACCAGUCACCAGUCACCAGUCACCAGUCACCAGUCACCAGUCACCAGUCCCCAGUCCCAGUCACCAGUCACCAGUCACCAGUCGCGACUCACGAGCCCCCAGUCACCAGUCACCAGCCCCCAGUCCCAGUCACCAGUCACCAGUCACCAGUCACCAGUCACCAGUCACCAGUCACCAGUCACCAGUCACCAGUCACCAGUCACCAGUCACCAGUCACCAGUCACCAGUCACCAGUCACCAGUCACCAGUCACCAGUCACCAGUCACCAGUCACCAGUCACCAGUCACCAGUCACCAGUCACCAGUCACCAGUCACCAGUCACCAGUCACCAGUCACCAGUCACCAGUCACCAGUCCCCAGUCCCAGUCACCAGUCACCAGUCACCAGUCGCGACUCACGAGCCCCCAGUCACCAGUCACCAGCCCCCAGUCCCAGUCACCAGUCACCAGUCACCAGUCACCAGUCACCAGUCACCAGUCACCAGUCACCAGUCACCAGUCACCAGUCACCAGUCACCAGUCACCAGUCACCAGUCACCAGUCACCAGUCACCAGUCACCAGUCACCAGUCACCAGUCACCAGUCACCAGUCACCAGUCACCAGUCACCAGUCACCAGUCACCAGUCACCAGUCACCAGUCACCAGUCACCAGUCACCAGUCCCCAGUCCCAGUCACCAGUCACCAGUCACCAGUCGCGACUCACGAGCCCCCAGUCACCAGUCACCAGCCCCCAGUCCCAGUCACCAGUCACCAGUCACCAGUCACCAGUCACCAGUCACCAGUCACCAGUCACCAGUCACCAGUCACCAGUCACCAGUCACCAGUCACCAGUCACCAGUCACCAGUCACCAGUCACCAGUCACCAGUCACCAGUCACCAGUCACCAGUCACCAGUCACCAGUCACCAGUCACCAGUCACCAGUCACCAGUCACCAGUCACCAGUCACCAGUCACCAGUCACCAGUCCCCAGUCCCAGUCACCAGUCACCAGUCACCAGUCGCGACUCACGAGCCCCCAGUCACCAGUCACCAGCCCCCAGUCCCAGUCACCAGUCACCAGUCACCAGUCACCAGUCACCAGUCACCAGUCACCAGUCACCAGUCACCAGUCACCAGUCACCAGUCACCAGUCACCAGUCACCAGUCACCAGUCACCAGUCACCAGUCACCAGUCACCAGUCACCAGUCACCAGUCACCAGUCACCAGUCACCAGUCACCAGUCACCAGUCACCAGUCACCAGUCACCAGUCACCAGUCACCAGUCACCAGUCCCCAGUCCCAGUCACCAGUCACCAGUCACCAGUCGCGACUCACGAGCCCCCAGUCACCAGUCACCAGCCCCCAGUCCCAGUCACCAGUCACCAGUCACCAGUCACCAGUCACCAGUCACCAGUCACCAGUCACCAGUCACCAGUCACCAGUCACCAGUCACCAGUCACCAGUCACCAGUCACCAGUCACCAGUCACCAGUCACCAGUCACCAGUCACCAGUCACCAGUCACCAGUCACCAGUCACCAGUCACCAGUCACCAGUCACCAGUCACCAGUCACCAGUCACCAGUCACCAGUCACCAGUCCCCAGUCCCAGUCACCAGUCACCAGUCACCAGUCGCGACUCACGAGCCCCCAGUCACCAGUCACCAGCCCCCAGUCCCAGUCACCAGUCACCAGUCACCAGUCACCAGUCACCAGUCACCAGUCACCAGUCACCAGUCACCAGUCACCAGUCACCAGUCACCAGUCACCAGUCACCAGUCACCAGUCACCAGUCACCAGUCACCAGUCACCAGUCACCAGUCACCAGUCACCAGUCACCAGUCACCAGUCACCAGUCACCAGUCACCAGUCACCAGUCACCAGUCACCAGUCACCAGUCACCAGUCCCCAGUCCCAGUCACCAGUCACCAGUCACCAGUCGCGACUCACGAGCCCCCAGUCACCAGUCACCAGCCCCCAGUCCCAGUCACCAGUCACCAGUCACCAGUCACCAGUCACCAGUCACCAGUCACCAGUCACCAGUCACCAGUCACCAGUCACCAGUCACCAGUCACCAGUCACCAGUCACCAGUCACCAGUCACCAGUCACCAGUCACCAGUCACCAGUCACCAGUCACCAGUCACCAGUCACCAGUCACCAGUCACCAGUCACCAGUCACCAGUCACCAGUCACCAGUCACCAGUCACCAGUCCCCAGUCCCAGUCACCAGUCACCAGUCACCAGUCGCGACUCACGAGCCCCCAGUCACCAGUCACCAGCCCCCAGUCCCAGUCACCAGUCACCAGUCACCAGUCACCAGUCACCAGUCACCAGUCACCAGUCACCAGUCACCAGUCACCAGUCACCAGUCACCAGUCACCAGUCACCAGUCACCAGUCACCAGUCACCAGUCACCAGUCACCAGUCACCAGUCACCAGUCACCAGUCACCAGUCACCAGUCACCAGUCACCAGUCACCAGUCACCAGUCACCAGUCACCAGUCACCAGUCACCAGUCCCCAGUCCCAGUCACCAGUCACCAGUCACCAGUCGCGACUCACGAGCCCCCAGUCACCAGUCACCAGCCCCCAGUCCCAGUCACCAGUCACCAGUCACCAGUCACCAGUCACCAGUCACCAGUCACCAGUCACCAGUCACCAGUCACCAGUCACCAGUCACCAGUCACCAGUCACCAGUCACCAGUCACCAGUCACCAGUCACCAGUCACCAGUCACCAGUCACCAGUCACCAGUCACCAGUCACCAGUCACCAGUCACCAGUCACCAGUCACCAGUCACCAGUCACCAGUCACCAGUCACCAGUCCCCAGUCCCAGUCACCAGUCACCAGUCACCAGUCGCGACUCACGAGCCCCCAGUCACCAGUCACCAGCCCCCAGUCCCAGUCACCAGUCACCAGUCACCAGUCACCAGUCACCAGUCACCAGUCACCAGUCACCAGUCACCAGUCACCAGUCACCAGUCACCAGUCACCAGUCACCAGUCACCAGUCACCAGUCACCAGUCACCAGUCACCAGUCACCAGUCACCAGUCACCAGUCACCAGUCACCAGUCACCAGUCACCAGUCACCAGUCACCAGUCACCAGUCACCAGUCACCAGUCACCAGUCCCCAGUCCCAGUCACCAGUCACCAGUCACCAGUCGCGACUCACGAGCCCCCAGUCACCAGUCACCAGCCCCCAGUCCCAGUCACCAGUCACCAGUCACCAGUCACCAGUCACCAGUCACCAGUCACCAGUCACCAGUCACCAGUCACCAGUCACCAGUCACCAGUCACCAGUCACCAGUCACCAGUCACCAGUCACCAGUCACCAGUCACCAGUCACCAGUCACCAGUCACCAGUCACCAGUCACCAGUCACCAGUCACCAGUCACCAGUCACCAGUCACCAGUCACCAGUCACCAGUCACCAGUCCCCAGUCCCAGUCACCAGUCACCAGUCACCAGUCGCGACUCACGAGCCCCCAGUCACCAGUCACCAGCCCCCAGUCCCAGUCACCAGUCACCAGUCACCAGUCACCAGUCACCAGUCACCAGUCACCAGUCACCAGUCACCAGUCACCAGUCACCAGUCACCAGUCACCAGUCACCAGUCACCAGUCACCAGUCACCAGUCACCAGUCACCAGUCACCAGUCACCAGUCACCAGUCACCAGUCACCAGUCACCAGUCACCAGUCACCAGUCACCAGUCACCAGUCACCAGUCACCAGUCACCAGUCCCCAGUCCCAGUCACCAGUCACCAGUCACCAGUCGCGACUCACGAGCCCCCAGUCACCAGUCACCAGCCCCCAGUCCCAGUCACCAGUCACCAGUCACCAGUCACCAGUCACCAGUCACCAGUCACCAGUCACCAGUCACCAGUCACCAGUCACCAGUCACCAGUCACCAGUCACCAGUCACCAGUCACCAGUCACCAGUCACCAGUCACCAGUCACCAGUCACCAGUCACCAGUCACCAGUCACCAGUCACCAGUCACCAGUCACCAGUCACCAGUCACCAGUCACCAGUCACCAGUCACCAGUCCCCAGUCCCAGUCACCAGUCACCAGUCACCAGUCGCGACUCACGAGCCCCCAGUCACCAGUCACCAGCCCCCAGUCCCAGUCACCAGUCACCAGUCACCAGUCACCAGUCACCAGUCACCAGUCACCAGUCACCAGUCACCAGUCACCAGUCACCAGUCACCAGUCACCAGUCACCAGUCACCAGUCACCAGUCACCAGUCACCAGUCACCAGUCACCAGUCACCAGUCACCAGUCACCAGUCACCAGUCACCAGUCACCAGUCACCAGUCACCAGUCACCAGUCACCAGUCACCAGUCACCAGUCCCCAGUCCCAGUCACCAGUCACCAGUCACCAGUCGCGACUCACGAGCCCCCAGUCACCAGUCACCAGCCCCCAGUCCCAGUCACCAGUCACCAGUCACCAGUCACCAGUCACCAGUCACCAGUCACCAGUCACCAGUCACCAGUCACCAGUCACCAGUCACCAGUCACCAGUCACCAGUCACCAGUCACCAGUCACCAGUCACCAGUCACCAGUCACCAGUCACCAGUCACCAGUCACCAGUCACCAGUCACCAGUCACCAGUCACCAGUCACCAGUCACCAGUCACCAGUCACCAGUCACCAGUCCCCAGUCCCAGUCACCAGUCACCAGUCACCAGUCGCGACUCACGAGCCCCCAGUCACCAGUCACCAGCCCCCAGUCCCAGUCACCAGUCACCAGUCACCAGUCACCAGUCACCAGUCACCAGUCACCAGUCACCAGUCACCAGUCACCAGUCACCAGUCACCAGUCACCAGUCACCAGUCACCAGUCACCAGUCACCAGUCACCAGUCACCAGUCACCAGUCACCAGUCACCAGUCACCAGUCACCAGUCACCAGUCACCAGUCACCAGUCACCAGUCACCAGUCACCAGUCACCAGUCACCAGUCCCCAGUCCCAGUCACCAGUCACCAGUCACCAGUCGCGACUCACGAGCCCCCAGUCACCAGUCACCAGCCCCCAGUCCCAGUCACCAGUCACCAGUCACCAGUCACCAGUCACCAGUCACCAGUCACCAGUCACCAGUCACCAGUCACCAGUCACCAGUCACCAGUCACCAGUCACCAGUCACCAGUCACCAGUCACCAGUCACCAGUCACCAGUCACCAGUCACCAGUCACCAGUCACCAGUCACCAGUCACCAGUCACCAGUCACCAGUCACCAGUCACCAGUCACCAGUCACCAGUCACCAGUCCCCAGUCCCAGUCACCAGUCACCAGUCACCAGUCGCGACUCACGAGCCCCCAGUCACCAGUCACCAGCCCCCAGUCCCAGUCACCAGUCACCAGUCACCAGUCACCAGUCACCAGUCACCAGUCACCAGUCACCAGUCACCAGUCACCAGUCACCAGUCACCAGUCACCAGUCACCAGUCACCAGUCACCAGUCACCAGUCACCAGUCACCAGUCACCAGUCACCAGUCACCAGUCACCAGUCACCAGUCACCAGUCACCAGUCACCAGUCACCAGUCACCAGUCACCAGUCACCAGUCACCAGUCCCCAGUCCCAGUCACCAGUCACCAGUCACCAGUCGCGACUCACGAGCCCCCAGUCACCAGUCACCAGCCCCCAGUCCCAGUCACCAGUCACCAGUCACCAGUCACCAGUCACCAGUCACCAGUCACCAGUCACCAGUCACCAGUCACCAGUCACCAGUCACCAGUCACCAGUCACCAGUCACCAGUCACCAGUCACCAGUCACCAGUCACCAGUCACCAGUCACCAGUCACCAGUCACCAGUCACCAGUCACCAGUCACCAGUCACCAGUCACCAGUCACCAGUCACCAGUCACCAGUCACCAGUCCCCAGUCCCAGUCACCAGUCACCAGUCACCAGUCGCGACUCACGAGCCCCCAGUCACCAGUCACCAGCCCCCAGUCCCAGUCACCAGUCACCAGUCACCAGUCACCAGUCACCAGUCACCAGUCACCAGUCACCAGUCACCAGUCACCAGUCACCAGUCACCAGUCACCAGUCACCAGUCACCAGUCACCAGUCACCAGUCACCAGUCACCAGUCACCAGUCACCAGUCACCAGUCACCAGUCACCAGUCACCAGUCACCAGUCACCAGUCACCAGUCACCAGUCACCAGUCACCAGUCACCAGUCCCCAGUCCCAGUCACCAGUCACCAGUCACCAGUCGCGACUCACGAGCCCCCAGUCACCAGUCACCAGCCCCCAGUCCCAGUCACCAGUCACCAGUCACCAGUCACCAGUCACCAGUCACCAGUCACCAGUCACCAGUCACCAGUCACCAGUCACCAGUCACCAGUCACCAGUCACCAGUCACCAGUCACCAGUCACCAGUCACCAGUCACCAGUCACCAGUCACCAGUCACCAGUCACCAGUCACCAGUCACCAGUCACCAGUCACCAGUCACCAGUCACCAGUCACCAGUCACCAGUCACCAGUCGUUCGCUUGCCGACCAGCAGUAGGGGGCCUUGGCCCCCCAGAGGCACGUGUCGUUGGUGGACCUCGUAAGGCGGAUGAGCCUUGCGGGACACCUUGAAACGCAAUUCCUAUUGAGCGGCGGGUAGAAUCUUUUGCAGACGACUUAAAUACGCGACGGGGUAUUGUAAGUGGCAGAGUGGCCUUGCUGCCACGAUCCACUGAGAUUCAGCCCUAGUCGCUUCGAUUCGUCCCUCCCCACCCACGAGUAGCCUUCUUCUUGUACAUGUGCCAUUUAGGGUUUAGCAUAUAGCAAAAUAGGCCCAGGGCUAUGCCCUCCCUCGAGGGAUUGGGCGCGUGCCGUCCUAAGGCAAUUCGUCCCGACCUGUGCGCGGACUAGGUUAUGCAGAGGGUAACCGUACUGUUGAUACACCCUUGCGGUGGAAACACUCGAACAAAUCAAGGGCUCGUAAGCCUUGGUAGUCGUGGACAUUUUUUGGCAAAGACUUAUUCAACGUCCGUGUCUAGGGAAGGCUCGUGGGUCACCUGAACCGAGCUGUGUCAGUCACGGUGCAUGACACUUAGACUUUCUCGAUCGGCGACAGUCCGUGACUAGGGAAGGCUCGUAGGCAAGCAGGCUGGCUGGCUGGCCAGCACCCAGUCACAAGUCCCUAGUCACCAGGCAAGCAGGCCUGCUGGUUGGCUGGCUGUCCAGCACCCAGUCACAAGUCCCUAGUCCCCAGGCAAGCAGGCUGGCUGGCUGGCCUACACCCAGUCACGAGUCGCGACUCACGAGCCCCCAGUCACCAGUCACCAGUCACGAGUCGCGACUCACGAGCCCACAGUCACCAGUCACGAGUCGCGACUCACGAGCCCCCAGUCACCAGUCACGAGCCCCCAGUCCCAGUCACCAGUCACCAGUCACCAGUCACCAGUCACCAGUCACCAGUCACCAGUCACCAGUCACCAGUCACCAGUCACCAGUCACCAGUCACCAGUCACCAGUCACCAGUCACCAGUCACCAGUCACCAGUCACCAGUCACCAGUCACCAGUCACCAGUCACCAGUCACCAGUCACCAGUCACCAGUCACCAGUCACCAGUCACCAGUCACCAGUCACCAGUCACCAGUCACCAGUCACCAGUCGCGACUCACGAGCCCCCAGUCACCAGUCCCCAGUCCCCAGUCCCCAGUCACCAGUCCCCAGUCACCAGUCCCCAGUCACCAGUCCCCUGUCACCAGUCCCCAGUCACGAGUCACCAGUCACGAGCCCCCAGUCACCAGUCACCAGUCCCCAGUCACCAGUCCCCUGUCACCAGUCCCCAGUCACGAGUCACCAGUCACGAGCCCCCAGUCACCAGUCACUUAGUAACGCAAUCCAAAUUUUGUUUUCAAUGAAAUUUUUGAUGUCCAUGUUAUGUGUUUUAUGAUGCAAGUCCCAUGAUGAAUUUUGCUCAAAAUUAAAUUUUUAACUUUUUUUAUAUUUUUUAAUUAUAUUUUUAAUAUUUUCUGCACUUUAAAAAAUUAUAAUUAAAUAAUCCCUUUCCAGAAAA